UGGCCUGUAGCUCAAUGGUUAGAGCAUCUGCCUUAUACGCAGCUGAUUACUGGUUCGAGUCCGGUCAGGCCAA
rnacentral:tRNA from 1 species